rnacentral:rRNA from 1 species
GCACUAAUCCACCCAGGGGAACCUGGCCCUUAAUUCGAUAAUCCACGAAACCCUUACCCCUUUUAGUUUAUUGGACCUCCUCGGGAAAUAAGUUCAGCUCGCAUACCGCCGUUUCGCAGCCUGUAUUGUGAAAGCCAAAAAACAGGCGCAAUAGUAACAGCCCGGCCUGUAGUACUGCCAAUUCAGGUAAACGUGCGGCCAAUAAAGGGGGGGAGCUGGGUUACAAUUCAGGGUUGCACUGGAACUAAACUCUCGCGCUUAGUGAAAGAGGACUUGGAAGUAAUCCCUCCCCCUGGAGGGGUGAAUAGUGCUCUAGUGUGUGU